rnacentral:rRNA from 1 species
GUGGGGAAUCUUCCGCAAUGGACGAAAGUCUGACGGAGCAACGCCGCGUGAACGAUGAAGGUCUUCGGAUUGUAAAGUUCUGUGAUCCGGGACGAAGGCAUCAGUUGAGAACAUUGAUUGAUGUUGACGGUACCGGAAAAGCAAGCCACGGCUAACUACGUGCCAGCAGCCGCGGUAAUACGUAGGUGGCAAGCGUUGUCCGGAAUUAUUGGGCGUAAAGCGCGCGCAGGCGGCCGUGCAAGUCCAUCUUAAAAGCGUGGGGCUUAACCCCAUGAGGGGAUGGAAACUGCAGGGCUGGAGUGUCGGAGGGGAAAGUGGAAUUCCUAGUGUAGCGGUGAAAUGCGUAGAGAUUAGGAAGAACACCGGUGGCGAAGGCGACUUUCUAGACGACAACUGACGCUGAGGCGCGAAAGCGUGGGGAGCAAACAGGAUUAGAAACCCCAGUAGUCC